rnacentral:rRNA from 1 species
UGCCAGCCGCCGCGGUAAUACAGAGGGUGCAAGCGUUAAUCGGAUUGACUGGGCGUAAAGGGCGCGUAGGCGGUUAAUUAAGUUGUGUGUGAAAUCCCCGGGCUUAACCUGGGAGCUGCAUGCAAAACUGGUUAACUAGAGUGAAGUAGAGGGAAGCGGAAUUUCCGGAGUAGCGGUGAAAUGCGUAGAUAUCGGAAGGAACACCAGUGGCGAAGGCGGCUUUCUGGACUUUUACUGACGCUGAGGCGCGAAAGCAUGGGGAGCAAACAGGAUUAGAUA